CAGUAGCCACGGUAACACGGAGGGUGCAAGCGUUGUCCGGAUUUAUUGGGUUUAAAGGGUGCGUAGGCGGCUAUUUAAGUCAGCGGUGAAAGACUCCGGCUCAACCGGAGCAGUGCCAUUGAUACUGGAUAGCUUGAGUGUUGGAGGGGUACAUGGAAUUGAUGGUGUAGCGGUGAAAUGCAUAGAUACCAUCAGGAACACCGAUAGCGAAGGCAUUGUACUGGCCAACAACUGACGCUGAGGCACGAAAGCAUGGGGAGCGAACAGGAUUAGAUACCCCCGUAGUCCCUGUCUCUUAUAA
rnacentral:rRNA from 1 species